rnacentral:rRNA from 1 species
AUUGAACGCUGGCGGCAGGCCUAACACAUGCAAGUCGAACGAAGUGGCGAACGGCUGAGUAACACGUGGGCAACCUGCCCCUUUCAUUGGGAUAGCCACGGGAAACCGUGGUAAUACCGAAUAGAGAGGGAUGGCCCGCGGCCUGUUAGCUUGUUGGUGGGGUAACGGCCUACCAAGGCAAUGAUGGGUAGCUGGGUUGAGAGACCGACCAGCCAGAUUGGGACUGAGACACGGCCCAGACUCCUACGGGAGGCAGCAGUGGGGAAUCUUGCACAAUGGGCGAAAGCCUGAUGCAGCGACGCCGCGUGCGGGAUGAAGGCCUUCGGGUUGUAAACCGCUUUCAGCAGGGACGCGGUACCUGCAGAAGAAGCCCCGGCUAACUACGUGCCAGCAGCCGCGGUAAUUC